GAUAGAGGAUGCAAGCGUUAUCCAGAAUGAUUGGGCGUAAAGCGUCUGUAGGUGGCUUUUCAAGUCCGCCGUCAAAUCCCAGGGCUCAACCCUGGUCAGGCGGUGGAAACUACCAAGCUGGAGUACGGUAGGGGCAGGGGAAUUUCCGGUGGAGCGGUGAAAUGCAUUGAGAUCGAAAAGAACACCAACGGCGAAAGCACUCUGCUGGGCCAACACUGACACUGAGAGACGAAAUCUAGGGGAGCAAA
rnacentral:rRNA from 1 species